CCACCAGCAACUUCAGAACCCAGUACUGGAAUGCCAUCAGCCAGCAGGCCCCUGCCAUCAUCUAUGACUUCUAUCUGUGGCUCACUGGAAGGAAACCCAGACUGUUCUAAAAUCAGAAAGGAAAUUCUCCUCCUUGAGCAUGUAUAUGUUUUUGGCUCUUGGAACUUGAGAUGAUGGUGCAAAGACAGGGUUUCACCAUCUUGGCCAGGCUGGUCUUGAACUCCUGACCUCAUGAUCCAACAGCCUUGGCCUCCCAAAGUGCUGGGAUUACAGGCAUGAGCCAGUGCGCCAGGUUUUUCUCAAAAUCUGAGGAGCUGCUACGGAAAGCACACCAGAUCUCAUGUGUUGAAACGUGAACAUGCUCACCACAGACCAAGGACGUUCAACCUGUCAAUCCCCAGGAUUUCCAAGCCAGGGGUUUCAUCUCUUACUUGUGGAAAAUUUGUUCAUUUGAUUAUGAACCAAUCAGCUUUUCAUUGUGUCAAAAUCAAAUCUAGAUAGUGAAACUGAUAUUUUAUCUUUAUUGUUAUCUUAAAUAUAUCUUGGCUUAAAGAGACAUAAGUGGCUCUUCCCCACUAUACCAGAUAACAAGUUGCAAAUAAAUCAUUCAGUAGUAAAGUUCAAAGAAA
ensembl:lncRNA novel transcript